UACGCUAGGAGUUUGGACCUGGCUCAGAUUGAACGCUAGCGGGAUGCCUUACACAUGCAAGUCGAACGGCAGCACGGACUUCGGUCUGGUGGCGAGUGGCGAACGGGUGAGUAAUGUAUCGGAACGUGCCCAGUAGCGGGGGAUAACUACGCGAAAGCGUAGCUAAUACCGCAUACGCCCUACGGGGGAAAGCAGGGGAUCGCAAGACCUUGCACUAUUGGAGCGGCCGAUAUCGGAUUAGCUAGUUGGUGGGGUAACGGCUCACCAAGGCGACGAUCCGUAGCUGGUUUGAGAGGACGACCAGCCACACUGGGACUGAGACACGGCCCAGACUCCUACGGGAGGCAGCAGUGGGGAAUUUUGGACAAUGGGGGAAACCCUGAUCCAGCCAUCCCGCGUGUGCGAUGAAGGCCUUCGGGUUGUAAAGCACUUUUGGCAGGAAAGAAACGUCAUGGGUUAAUACCCCGGUAAUAUAUGACGGUACCUGCAGAAUAAGCACCG
rnacentral:rRNA from 1 species